UGAUGAUGAAGAUGAGGAGGAAGACAUUGCAGCUAAUGAAAUCUCCAAGCGUGAAAAGGCACGGUUAAAAGAUAUGCAGAGGCGUAAGAAGCAAAAGAUACAGGAAAUGUUGGAUGCGCAGAAUGCUGCAAUAGAAGCUGACAUGAGUAACAAGGGGAAGGGGCGUCUUAAGUAUCUUUUGGAGCAGACAGAGUUAUUUGCACAUUUUGCAAAAGGCGAUCAAUCGACUUCAGAAAAGAAGACAAAAGGAAGGGGCCGUCAUGCGUCAAAGAUAACCGAAGAGGAAGAAGAUGAGGAGUAUCUCAAAGAAGAAGAUGGUGGGCUGUCCGGGAAUACACGGCUAUUGGCACAACCUUCUUGUAUUCAGGGAAAGAUGAGGGAUUAUCAACUUGCUGGUUUGAACUGGAUGAUACGGCUAUAUGAGAACGGCAUAAAUGGGAUACUUGCUGAUGAAAUGGGUCUUGGUAAGACCUUACAAACCAUCUCUUUGCUGGCGUACCUGCAUGAAUUUAGAGGGAUUACUGGUCCUCACAUGGUUGUUGCUCCAAAAUCCACACUAGGCAAUUGGAUGAAUGAAAUCAAACGUUUUUGUCCUAUCAUACGUGCUGUAAAGUUCCUUGGGAACCCUGAAGAAAGGAGAUACAUUCGAGAGGAUUUGCUAGUUGCUGGGAAGUUUGAUGUGUGUGUCACAAGUUUUGAGAUGGCUAUCAAAGAGAAGUCUGCUUUACGACGCUUUAAUUGGCGUUACAUCAUCAUUGAUGAGGCUCAUAGAAUCAAGAAUGAAAAUUCUCUUCUUUCCAAAACCAUGAGGCUCUACAGCACUAAUUAUAGGCUGUUGAUCACAGGGACGCCACUUCAGAAUAAUCUUCAUGAGCUCUGGGCGCUUCUGAACUUUUUGCUACCAGAGAUCUUUAGCUCGGCUGAGACAUUUGAUGAGUGGUUUCAAAUAUCCGGUGAGAAUGACCAGCAGGAGGUGGUCCAACAGCUUCAUAAGGUCCUUCGUCCAUUCCUUCUUAGGAGACUGAAGUCUGAUGUUGAGAAAGGUCUGCCUCCAAAGAAGGAAACAAUUCUCAAGGUCGGUAUGUCUCAGAUGCAGAAAAACUACUAUCGGGCUUUGUUGCAGAAAGAUUUUGAGGUUGUUAAUUCUGGAGGAGAGCGCAAGCGUCUUCUUAAUAUAGCAAUGCAGCUCCGAAAAUGUUGUAAUCAUCCAUAUCUUUUCCAAGGAGCUGAGCCAGGACCUCCAUAUACAACCGGAGAGCAUCUCAUAGAAAAUGCUGGCAAAAUGGUUCUUCUUGAUAAGUUGCUUCCUAAGCUGAAGGAACGAGGCUCAAGGGUUUUAAUAUUUUCGCAGAUGACACGGCUACUGGACAUCCUUGAAGAUUACCUGAUGUAUCGAGGUCACCAGUAUUGUCGGAUUGAUG
rnacentral:misc_RNA from 1 species